CCUACGGGAGGCAGCAGUAGGGAAUAUUGGGCAAUGGUCGCAAGACUGACCCAGCCAUGCCGCGUGCAGGAAGACGGCCCUCUGGGUUGUAAACUGCUUUUAUCUGGGAAGAAAAAGUCCAUGCGUGGAAAAUUGCCGGUACCAGAUGAAUAAGCACCGGCUAACUCCGUGCCAGCAGCCGCGGUAAUACGGAGGGUGCAAGCGUUGUCCGGAUUUAUUGGGUUUAAAGGGUGCGUAGGCGGCUGAAUAAGUCAGCGGUGAAAGACUUCGGCUUAACCGGAGCAGUGCCGUUGAUACUGUUUGGCUUGAGUGUUGGAGGGGUACAUGGAAUUGAUGGUGUAGCGGUGAAAUGCAUAGAUACCAUCAGGAACACCGAUAGCGAAGGCAUUGUACUGGCCAACAACUGACGCUGAGGCACGAAAGUGUGGGGAUCGAACAGGAUUAGAUACCCUGGUAGUCCACACUGUAAACGAUGAUUACUCGCUGUUAUGGUGUAUGCUGUAGCGGCCAAGCGAAAGCGUUAAGUAAUCCACCUGGGGAGUACGCCGGCAACGGUGAAACUCAAAUGAAUUGACGG
rnacentral:rRNA from 1 species